UGGGGAAUAUUGCGCAAUGGGGGGAACCCUGACGCAGCCAUGCCACGUGAAUGAAGAAGGCCUUCGGGUUGUAAAGUUCUUUCGGUAUUGAGGAAGGUUGAUGUGUUAAUAGCACAUCAAAUUGACGUUAAAUACAGAAGAAGCACCGGCUAACUCCGUGCCAGCAGCCGCGGUAAUACGGAGGGUGCGAGCGUUAAUCGGAAUAACUGGGCGUAAAGGGCACGCAGGCGGUUAUUUAAGUGAGGUGUGAAAGCCCCGGGCUUAACCUGGGAAUUGCAUUUCAGACUGGGUAACUAGAGUACUUUAGGGAGGGGUAGAAUUCCACGUGUAGCGGUGAAAUGCGUAGAGAUGUGGAGGAAUACCGAAGGCGAAGGCAGCCCCUUGGGAAUGUACUGACGCUCAUGUGCGAAAGCGUGGGGAGCAAACAGGAUUAGAUACCCUGGUAGUCCACGCUGUAAACGCUGUCGAUUUGGGGGUUGGGGUUUAACUCUGGCGCCCGUAGCUAACGUGAUAAAUCGACCGCCUGGGGAGUACGGCCGCAAGGUUA
rnacentral:rRNA from 1 species